CUUACAUUUUCUUUGUUAAAAUCCACUCAGAAAUGAUGAAAUGAUCGCUAUAUAUAGUAAGAGAAGAAAAUGUCAAGUUGGGUUAUCUUGUUAUCGAGAGAGCGAAGUACAAUGAUUUAUCCUUUCUCGUUUUCAACAAACUAUUAUAAAGGAGUUUAUGAAGUACUAAUAAUGAACGGAUUACCAGCAUCUGUGCUUUUAAUCUUAUUCAGUGCAUUUACACCAACAGUUUCACAGUUCAUUUGCAACAACAAAACACAUUCAUGGUGGGAAGCAAUGACACAGUGUCGAAAUAGUGGUGGAGCCCCAGUAUCAUAUCGUGAAGGUAUUGAUAAAGAUAUGUCUGACGUUUGCCUGGAUGCAAACGCAGGUGCAUGGACAGCCGAUUUCGCUGUUAAAGUUAAAAAAACAGAUGUUUCAGAUGAGUCGGAUGGACUAUAUCACCGUGUAUGUGGCUUCACCUACCUAAAUAGUACAAAUGUGAAGCUUGACUCCUGGAAAGAGCUAUAUGGAGACUGUCUCGAACGGAGAAAUUACUUUUAUGAAAAUGGAACAGCAGGCACGUUGGAAAUUCUUAACGAUACAUUCUAUGGUGCAGAUAUAAGCAAGUUAUUCCGUCGAUCAGAAUUACUCAAUGUUACGCAGGAAAUGAUACCAGGAUUUUAUUGGACCGGAGAAACAGCAAUUAUCUUACCAGGAGAUCUGAAAUCUGGAGAUAGUUUACCGUCAAAUACAACGUACCUCUGUGGCGUAUAUGGAAUUAACACGGGGCAUUACUAUGCCUUUUGCAGCACACAUCAUACUUCCUUGUGCUACUACGGGAACAGCAUUACCAGUGGGGUUACAGAAGAAGCACCAGGGAGCAGAAUUACCAGUACGGCUAAAGAAGAAGCACAAGGUUAUGAUAGAAUAUAUUUGACAUCAACUGCUCGAGGAGCAGUGUAACAAGUUUGGCUAAAGAAGAGGCACCAGGUCUCGGGUUUAUUGUUGGACUACCUGUUGGAACAUGUUUGUGGAUUGGCCGUCUAAUGCUUAUAUAUUAAGAGAAAACGAUGUAAAAAGGUUUGCAAAAGACUGCUCUUAAAGUCUUGAUGAACCUGAUGAAGAAGCGAUGAAUAUAGUACGCAUCUGUGUUAUUCUUUGCGCAAACAGGCGUGGGGAAUUUGCGAUAGCGUUUUGUGAGUGCAGUGUAUCUGUAUGUCGUAAAUGACGAUUUUUCCCUUCGAGUUGCAAAUUUUCAAUUUUUUAUUCUUAAUGUCUGAUAUUGCCCAGAAUAGUGGCAUCAGAUUUAACAACACAAACGGGAAAAGUUUCACAAGAAAAAAAGAAGAAGAAAAGAUAUCAAAGAACAGAAAAGAACGCCAUUUGUGUCGAACAUCACAUGGAAAAUUCCUUUAGUUUUUAGGUUAAUGAAUACGGCAGAAAGAAGGUUACUAUUACCCGUUUUUAGUAAUUUUAUUUUUUAUUGUAUUUUAGAUAUUGAUUUAUUAUAUUGUAGGCAUUGUUAUUUGCCGCAUUUAUUUUAUAUGAUAUGGGAUAUAGGCCUUUUAUUCAACUGAUAUUCCAGAUUCAUCCAUGUAAAGUUGAUUUAUGUUGAAUUUUCAACCCAUUUUAUUAUGUUAAUUGUAUUGGUAUGUAUAUAAGUAAAUUUUAUAUUAAUGCUUCUGUAUAAUAUUUGUUACGGAUUGUUAUGCAUUUGUUAAAAAUUGUUGUAUGUUGUGUAUCGUGUCGUUAAUAUGCCUUUGUUUUUAUGUAUUAAAUAUGUAACUCAUUCUGCAACUCCUUAAAGGUAAUGUAGGCAUGGCAAAGCCCAUUCCUUUUUCAGUAAAAAACACCAAACUUAAUACACAGUACAUACGUCAUGAGCAAACAUCCAUUAACAGCGUCUUAUAGUUUUAGACAUUGAUUAUUCGUUUCUUUUUUAAGUAAAGUAUUUAUGUGUUUGAUGUCUGAUAUCCAUGAUUAAAUUCAGAAUAUUUACAAAUGUCACCUAACAAUAAGGCAAAAACUAACCUUUUAACCAAGAUGACUUGCAUUUUAAAGUAUACUUGCUCUAUUACCUCAGCAUAGGUUUCUUACAGACUGACCUUUAGCAAUAUCAAUACAAACGUUUUUCUUGAGAGGUGGCUGAUUGCAUUGACUGUUUGUCCAUCCAAAAUACCAAUGGAUCAGCAUAUGAUUGUAUAUAGUGGUAAAUGUGUAAGUAGUGAACUCAAUAUUCAUGCUGCGUAUUUAUAAGCUGUUCUCCUAAGGAAAAGGUGAAGAAAACAACAACAAUACCCUCUUAGUAAAUACGCAAAAGUAAUCGUCAACAAAUAUCUCUUAUCAUUUUCUUAUUCCUUUCAAACUGUGAGUUUCACGACCCUAAGCGGGAUAAAAUUAUGUUUGUUUUGUUUCAUUCAUUGUACAUGUAAAUGCUUCCUCAUCAUUUAACUUGAAAGAAUCAUAUAUAGCCCACAUUCCUAAGCAGACAUUUAUCAGAAUAAUGGUCUUGAUAACAUGUGAGCUUAGUUUGAAAAUCAGUCAUUUCGGAUGCACAACUAUGUACGUCUGAAUAUAAGCAUUACUGUGUGUAUUUAAUAAAUUCCAUUUCAUACAUGUAUAACGAAACAUGGAGGUCAAUAUCGGGCAUGAUCAAUUAUUAAUAAGGACACUUAAAGCAUUAAUAAAAAGUCUGCUCGCACUUCAAAAGCAAUGCUUUUACUCCAAUAUUCAUGAAACCUAAUCAGACUGGCUUUUUACUUAGGAUCUACAACAGAGACACCAGUAUUGUUAUAUCAUCUCCUGUUUUAUCUGUACUACAUAUUUUGUUUCGUUUUAAUGCAUCUUGUAGCAUCUUGUAUAUAUCAUUUUAUCAUAUAAUUGAGGUCGUGGGAAUGACAUUAAGCCAUGAUAUAUUUUUGUUUUGUUUUUUUCGAAGACCAUGUGCGGGUAAAAUGUGUUUUAUUUGAUUUAAAGUAUUAAAGAGAUGAAACAAAAAUAAAAAUGUCUUUGUUUUACAUGU